rnacentral:miRNA from 1 species
UCAAUGCACUGCACUGCACUGC